AAUGUUAUAUUCACCUCAACACGCCAUCAAGGUGAACAUUUGAUUUUUGGAACAUUGGAUCAAAAAUAAAGUGGGAAGUCCCAUAUUGAUAUGAUAAUCAUUUUUGGUGAUUCAAUGAAAACUUGUGUCUUUCUCACUUUCCACUAGGUCUUAACCUGGAGUAACAAUUGUUGAACCAUGAUAACAUUGAAUCCAAUCUAAAGAUGACCGAUCCUGUAUCAAUUGGUUAACAAUGAACCCAAUCUUAAGCUGACCGAUCCUGUAUCAAUUGGUUAACAAUGAACCCAAUCUAAAGAUGACUGAUUCUGUAUGAAAAGAUGACCGAUCCUGUAUCAAUUGGUUAACAUUGAAUCUAAUCUAAAGAUGACCGAUCCUGUAUCAAUUGGUUAACAUUGAAUCCAAUCUAAAGAUGACCGAUCCUGUAUCAAUUGGUUAACAAUGAACCCAAUCUAAAGAUGACCGAUCCUGUAUCAAUUAGUUAACAAUGAAGUGAAUUCAAUCUAAAGAGGUCUAAUCCUGUAUCAAUUAGUUAACAAUGAACCCAAUCUAAAGAUGUUUGAUCAUGUAUCAAUUGGUUAUAGCUUUAGUAGCAGGUUUCAAUGUUUUAAGUUACUUUAGUUAUUAUAAUAAACAAAAACUCGCAUCUCUUAAUUACUACUUUCAACUAGGUCUUGCAGUCUAGCUGCACAUGCAUUCAUAGAUGGUCGAGCAGGUGUCCUUAUUUGGGUUCUAGUAGCCAGUUUUUGAUGUUUUAAAUCAUUUAAUCAAAUAAAACAAUUACUGACAUUUUCUCAACCAAUAUCAUGCUCGAUGAAUAUCGCACUUCCCAGGUAGCGAAAGCAUAGUGCUGACUUAAAAAAUGUCAAUAAUUAUUUCAUGUACGUAAUAUAGUACUCUUUCCAUCUACUGUACACGGUUGACAUUCUAAACACUAUCAUUACUGUCUGAAAUUUGGGUUAAUGAAUAUCUUUUUUCGAUACUGCCAAAAAAUUGUGCAAUAGAGUCAGGCAGCUUUCAGCAUGAAGCAGCAAUGCUCAACAAUCAAAAUAUCUUUUUUCCUUAGCCAUAUUUGUUAAAAUAAAAACCUAUAUCAGACAUUUGUCUGUCAAAUUUAAAACAAGAGUUGUCAGAAGACAUCGGUGCUUGCCAGGCAGGAUGAAAUUUGUAAAAAAGGGUAGAACAUCAUAUACAGGUCUGAGCUACAUUUCUUAUCUGAUGUGAGUAAUGGAAUCUUGCAUUAAAAUGCAUGAUUCCUUCAAGGUUAAUUGUAAAGGCCAAGGUCACUGAGAAGAAAAUCCUUGCAUACAAGAUUCAAAUCACAUUUCUUCAACUAACUUUUAGCAAACAUUUUAGGAAAGAUACCGUGCAUAAAGAUCUGGGUUCUUAUUAGAUUUCAAAGUCAAAUUCAAAUGUUGAACAACACAAGGAGCAAAUCUCCAUAGUAAUUGUAUGCAAAAACUUGAGUGUACCAAAUUUCAGUUAUUAGUAUACAUGUAGGUGUGGUAUCUUACAAGAUCUAAUUAUUUUGGCUUUAAAGUUCACAGGACAAGGUCAUUAAAGAACACUUUUGGGCUGGGAAAUGUCAUCUUGCAAGAGGUGGAGUUCUUUACUAAUAGCAAUUAAUCAAAAACAUUUAGACAAAUGAAAAGUGCAUGUCUUUGUUUCUAGAGAUCAUGAUCAUUUUUAAAGGCAUAUCUGGUAUCACGCAGUUUCUAAAAAAUUAUUUAACAACUAUCUACACCACAAAAAUGUUGGAUAAGAUGCUAUUUUGCCAACUCUCUUGUCAUCUGUUACAUUUGAUGUCAUCUUACCUCAAAAACUUCAUUCCAUGCAGGAUUCACCGUGUUGUUAAUGACUUUUGUUUUGAAUUUUUCGGGACCAACUGAAAAGAAAUGUUGGAUAGCUUCACAUUGAUGGUGGUACCCAGAGCAAUAGUUAAGAAAUUAUCAAUGCUGUUGAUGUCACAUAUCAUGAAACAUUUACAUGCACUGUCAGUAACUUUACUUCUAAUUUUUUUUCCUACAUCUUACUCAAUUAAAUUAAACCUAAGACUUGUAUUUUUGUUCCUAUAAAAUAAUGUUUCUUAUAUAAAUAUAUAUUGCACCAAAAAUAUGAAUGACACCACUUAAAAGAAAAUAAAUCUUCCUGUCAAUUGAGUGUUUGAAAUAUCAGAAUGUACCAGGUAUUGUAAAGGAACAGAAUCGCAAGUUUAAUCUUAAUAACUUAAACCUUAUCCUUCUAUACUCCUUACACUUCAAUACUGCAUAUGGAUCAGAUUUUCCUUUGCCAACAAAAGCCAAAUCAGCUGACACCAGAUUUCUAGCUUCCAUCAUGUGAAUUCGCAAAACACCCUGAAAAUAUUCACCAAUUAAUGUCUACUGUAAGAAGCAAUCUAAAUCUCUGAUACAGAACAAAAACUUAAGACAUGAAAGAGAGGCUCGGCAUGGUUAUGCAAAUACACAUUAUUUGUUAGAGGAGUUUUGAGAUAGCAAAAAUUUCCCUCUGAGAGAUGUCACAUAAAUUUAAACAUGUUUCAAUAUUCCUCUGACACAUUGCUAUAUCAAAUGCAUUUC